rnacentral:rRNA from 1 species
UCUGUACACCUUGAGAAUGCCUGAUUUCGUCUGAUCUCAGAAGAUUAACAGGGUUAUGCCUGGUUAGUACUGGAUGGGAGACUCCUGGAAUAUCAAAUGCCACAGGA